rnacentral:rRNA from 1 species
UACGUAGGGUGCGAGCGUUGUCCGGAAUUAUUGGGCGUAAAGGGCUCGUAGGCGGUUUGUCGCGUCGGGAGUGAAAAUCCAGGGCUUAACUCUGGACUGGCUUCCGAUACGGGCAGACUAGAGGUAUGCAGGGGAGAACGGAAUUCCUGGUGUAGCGGUGAAAUGCGCAGAUAUCAGGAGGAACACCGGUGGCGAAGGCGGUUCUCUGGGCCUUACCUGACGCUGAGGCGCGAAAGCUAGGGGAGCGAACAGG